UUGACGGUACCCUACUAGAAAGGAGCCGCUAACUUCGUGCCAGAAGCGUCGGUAAUACGGGGGCUCCAAGCGUUAUCCGGUGUUAUUGGGCGUAAAGAGUCGCGUAGGUGGUUGGGUAAGUUAUCUUUCAAAUAUCUUUGCUUAACAAAGAGGAGGGGGAUAAUACUGCUCGACUAGAAUUUUCUCAAGGGAGAUCGGAACUGAGGGAGGAGUAGUGAAAUGCGUUGAUACCCUCGGGAACACCAGUGGCGUAGGCGGAUCUCUGGGAGAAGAUUGACACUGAGACACGAAAGCUAGGGGAGCGAAGCAGAUUAGAGACCUGCGUAGUCCUAGCCGUAAACGCAUGCUUGCUAGCUGCAUGAAUCUACCUUCGGGUGGUAUCGUGUGGCGAAGGUAACCCGUUAAGCAAGCCGCCUGGAAAGUACGGCCGCAAGGCUGAAAUUCAAAGGAAUUGGCGGGGAGGCACACAACCAGUGGAACAUGUGGUUUAAUUCGAGACUAACCGAAGAACCUCACCAGGGUUUGACAUGUAGCUGCACGUCUUAAGAAAUUAAGACUCUCUUGAAGGUGCUACACAGGUGCUGCAUGGCUGUCGUCAGCUCGUUCCGUGAGGAGUGCCCUUAAGUGGGACAACGAGCGCAACCCCUAUUACAUGUUAGAAAUGUCAUGUAAGACUGCCUUGCCAUUUGGCGGGGAGGAAGGAGGGGCAGACGUCAAGUCCGCAUGGUCCUUAUGCCCUGGGCUACACACAUGUUACAAUGAGUACGGCAAUGAGUCUGUCGCGAGCACGUAAGUGUAAGCUAAUCUCUUAAAUGUACUCUCAGUGGGGAUUGAGGUCUGCAACUCGACCUCAUGAACACGGAAUUGGUAGUAAUCGCGGGUCAGCUAUACCGCGGUGAUACGUUCUUGCCUCUUGCACACACCGCCCGUCAAACCAGCAAAGUC
rnacentral:rRNA from 1 species